GGCGGCGUAGCUCAGUUGGUUAGAGCACACGGCUCAUACCCGUGGAGUCGAGGGUUCGAAUCCCCCCGCCGCCACCA
rnacentral:tRNA from 1 species